rnacentral:lncRNA from 1 species
AAUCUUGCCUUUAGUUCAACGCAUUGUCUUCAGGAGAUCCCUCUUAAAAUUCAUAUUUCUUCUUUGGGAGAGGGAGAAAUUAGGGUGAGACAUUAGCAACAGCAUCAUCAAAGUAUGGACAUGGAGGGGCGUGAUCUUCUCUAGAAUGUGACUCCCACACUAGGUAGUCCUGGUUAUUAAGGAAAGAGUUUUAACUUUAUCUACUCAUUGUAUAACCUUGGGUAAGUCAGUUCUCUCCUUCUAGGUCUCAGUUUCCAUGGCAUUAAAAUGGAGAUUGUUUUGGUUCAAUCAUGUCCGACUCUUCAUGACUCCUAUUUGGGAUUUUCUUGGUAAAAAUACUAGAGUGGUUUGCCAUUUUCUUUUCCAGCUCACUUUACAGAAGAGAAAAUUGAGGCAAACAGAGUCAAAUGACCUGCCCAGGAUCAUACAGUUGAUCACUUGGAGAAGAGAAGAUUUAAGGAGGAAAGUCAGCUUUCCUGCCAAACAUUAAAAGGAAGCAGAAAUUAGACAGGAUCUGCUUGGUCCCAAAAGACAGAGAUAGGGCCAAUAUGGGGGAGAGAAUCACAUGGAGUGCAGUUUCCUUUUCACCAGAAGGACCUCUUUCUCAGCAAUGAGGAUACUUCACAAAGGAAUAGCUGUGUGACUUUGUGUAGCUCAGUUUACUUUUCUAUAAGCUCAGGGAAUUGUACUAAGUCACAGAAUCUAAGAGACGCGUUGAACCAAAUCCACCAGGUUGUCCAACUCCUACAUGAAUAAGAGUCUCCGGGACAACUUUUCAACAAGGCUUCAUCCAACUUUGUCUUGAGGACUUCCAGGGAGAGGGAUUCCCCCUAUCUCCCAAGGCAAGCCAUUUCAUGCUUCUUUGUGACUUUCCUGCAUCAUUCCUAUUUUUAGCUUCUGAAGCCAAGCAGGACAAACAUAAACAAAUCCCUUUUCCAUAGGGCAGCCCUUCAGAUGUCUUGGGAUCACAUGCAAGGUUGGGAGAUGGAACAUUCCAGAAACAGCUAGAAGGACAGUUUGGCUGAAUGCAGAGUAUAUAAAGGGUAGUAAUAAGAAAUAAAUCUUGGAAAGGAAGGCUGGAGCCA